rnacentral:rRNA from 1 species
GACGAACGCUGGCGGCGUGCUUAACACAUGCAAGUCGAGCGGUAAGGCCCUUUCGGGGGUACACGAGCGGCGAACGGGUGAGUAACACGUGGGUGACCUGCCCUCAGCUCUGGGAUAAGCCUGGGAAACUGGGUCUAAUACUGGAUAUGACUCCACGGUGCAUGUCGGUGGGGUGGAAAGCCUUGUGCGGCUGAGGAUGGGCCCGCGGCCUAUCAGCUUGUUGGUGGGGUGAGGCCUACCAAGGCGACGACGGGUAGCCGGCCUGAGAGGGCGACCGGCCACACUGGGACUGAGACACGGCCCAGACUCCUACGGGAGGCAGCAGUGGGGAAUCUUGCGCAAUGGGCAAAGCCUGACGCAGCGACGCCGCGUGAGGGAUGACGGCCU